AUUGCCGUUCACGCUAGCUGCUCGCCAUCACGCCGUCAUGCCGUCUCCGUUCUCCAUCGCCGUUCACGCUAGCUGCUCGCCGUCACGCCGUCACGCCGUCUUCGUUCUCCAUCGCCGUUCUCACUGCAAGACCAUCCACAGGAAGUAGCAGCAGGUUGGAUCAAUAUGCGGUCUUGGGAUUUAGCUUUUAUUUGGGAUGUCUUUGAGCAAUUUAAGUUACUAUUUUUCUCCUUGGAUGGCUCUUGAUCACUACUGAUUUGCCUCAGAGUACUAUAAGGGAUUUGUUCUAACCAUGAAGCUCUAUAGGAAAGUCAGGAACGGCAAGCCCCUUAUGCUGGUGCUUUCCUCGUAAAAGAUGAGUCAGAUGCUGAUCCUAGUGUAGUAUCUAGCUCCAACACAGAAAAAGUGUAUAUGAUUUAAAAGGAAAAGAGUUGUUUAACCCUCUUCACGAAGUUGGGACUCUUGCUCAAGUAUGUGAAUUUUAUGCAGCUUAUUAGUUACUUUAUGCCUUCAAUGGAUUACUAUUAUAGCUUUAUAAGUGCUUCAAACUUUGUCACUAAUCUCCUUUUCAAUACCGGAUUACAAGUAUCCAUGGGGAUCAAAUCAUUUGGCUGAUUAUCUUGCCAAAUCAGGUUGCUUUCGCCAAUGUGAAAUUUGGUCUUUGUUGAGGAAUUAGGUUCUCUAUGCUCGAAAUUCGGAUGCUGAUUUGAUGCGGUUUUCAUUGCUGGCAUGUGCCUGAGUUUGCUAUAUUGCUUCUGCUGGUUUUUGGCUGAUGGAAUUAAGAAGUUACCACUGUUGUUGCUGUUCGGUGGGCAUUUUUGUUGCUGCAUAAAUUUGUUGCUGUUUGUGCUGUUAUGGUGCUGUGAUUGCUAUUCUUGCUGCUGCAUCUUCUUUUGCGGAAACCUGUUGAUGUGUUGCUGUUUGGCUGUUAUCUGCUGCUCUUUUGUGCUGAGAGGAGUUCUGUUUUCUGUUAUGUGCUGUUGCUUUUUUACCUUGCAUUUCCUGCUGUACAACAGCUUUGAAGUGCAACUUUCUUGCUGUUUUUUAUUACUGUUUUUUUUUAUUGCUGAACCUUGCUUGUUUUAUGGUUCCUGUUUCCUUUUUGUAUUGUUGUUCUCUCUUUGCUCUUUUGUGAUUUUUGCUGUAGAUUGUAAACUUCUAUUCCGAUGAGAAGCUUUCUCUCAUGGCUUUUUAUAUAUUAUUUCUCUUGUUUCGAAAAAAAAAGUAUCCAUGGGGAUCAGCUGAUUCUGAUUGGUCAUCGAUGUCUCCGCAUAACAGAGAUCAUGUUCAGACAUACACUAAGUGAAACUAGUUGGGAAGGUUUAGCUAGUGGUUCCUCCUAACUCCACUGUAAUUAUGAGCUUGAGCUAGUGCCAUUUGAGAAGGAUAUGGAAAAUGGAGGAUGCUAUAAAUUGUGGUGCACCUUUGGAUUAUGCUUCAAAACAGCCUCAUCAUCAACUAUUAUUUAUUUAUUUAUUUUCUUCUGGAUCUGAUUCAGGGCUUCUCAUCUUCUGCAUCGGUUCGACCAUGAGUAUGAGAUUGAUUGAAAAGAGGUCAUUUUCUGAAACUGGGCAUUCAAGGGGGAGUUUGAGUGAUUUGGUUACCGUGGUAUUUGGAGUGGAUGCCAUUAUAGAGCAAUAGAGAGCAACUGCGACAGAAAUCUUGGGUUAUACUAAAGGGGGCUUGACUAAGGGGAGACUUUAAAUAGCAAGUGUAGUUAAGCAUAUAAAGGACGCAUUCAAUUUCAGGUAUUGAAAACUGAGAAAGAAAGGCUUUAGAUAUGCAAUUCUAAAAAAAACAGCCUUGAAGCUUUUCAAGUUGUCUUUUUCUUCAGUAUAGUGAACGAUGAGGGCAAAAAAUGUAUUACAGAAGCUUUGAAUGUACAAGUGCAGAGUACAAGGGAUGUCACUUCCAGACUCAUCUCAAUAUCAAUAAGAGAAGGAAUGAAUAACAAAAUGACAAUCUUGCAAGCAAUAUGAGAUGAAGAUGAUAAGAGCCAAUUAUAUAGUCAUCUUUUGAAGAGAAUACAUUCUAUUCAGCUCUAUGUAGUCCUUUUUGUUGAGUUAGGGGACUUUGACUUUGAUAGGUGGUUUAUGGUGUGGAUUUUCAUGGUUAAAGGAAAUGUCAAUUCUCUUUUUCGUC